UUGAAACCAACAAAUAAUCAGUAACAGUCUCUAAUAAAUAUGAAAUAAAUCGCAAUUUCCUUGUCCAUAAAAAAGGCUCCAGUGGAUUGGUGGCAAGUCAUCGUUUAAAGUCCAUGAAUAAGAUGAAUCCGAAUCCAAUUGGAUAUUUCGAGAUAUUCCUUUAUGGUCGUGUCGUGUUUUGUGUUCGGUUAUUUUCGUGGUGUCGCGUUGCUUCGUAUUAUACUAUUAGACUAAAAAUAUGCAAUAUGAUGUGGAGAAACUGAUCAAAUCUGGAUGAAAAUCAAAGAGGAAGGAGCAGGACUACAAUGGUUGAAACCAACAAACGGCCAUUAAACACUCCUGAUAAAUACAAACAAUGAUGUGAAUUCCAGUCAUUAUCUUUCAAGAGCUAUCUCCUAGUGCAUGAAAAAGCCUGCGGGGAAUAUAGGUGUCUAGUCAUCUUUUAAAGUCCACGCAAAAAUUAAUCAGAAUCCAAUUGGAUCGAUCAACAUAGAAUUCAUGGUUGAACUUUUGCAAAAACAACAAAUAUUGGAGCCAUCUCAAAAGCAUAUAAUAAGAAAAAAAAAAAAAACAAACAAAACGUUCACAAAUCUCAAAACAUUCGCGAACUUUACGGUCGGGUCGAAAAAAUGUAUUUGUGUCUAUUUUAUGUUCGGUUAUUUCGGUGUUGUCGCAUUUAUUUCGUGUUUUCGCCGGUUCGUUCGAUGUCGCUUGGUAUUAGACUUACACGGAUGUCUCUAAAAAAAGUGGAGACAAAAAAUAGGCAAUUUCAAACUGAUCAAAUCUGGGUGAAAAUCAAAGAAGAGUUAAGGCUACAAUGAUUGAAACCGACAAACAGCCAGUAAAAACUAUGAUGUGAAUUCCAGUCACUAUAUUUCAAGAUCAAUUACCUUGUGCAUGACAAAGGCUUCGGUGAAAAGGUGUCAUCUUGUUAUUUAAAAUCCACGAAGAAAUUGAAUCUGAAUCCAAUUGGAUUCGAUAUACAGUAUCAUAAGAUUAAAAUUCUACCAAAAUUGAAUUUAAGUUUAAACUUUAAAAGAACAUUAAUAACACCUCAACAAUCUUCAACACAAAAAAUUAAAAGCCUUGCAAAAGUAUGGAUUAUGAUCUUAAAGCCUAUAGUUCUAAUCGGUUAAUGUUUGGACUUCUGUUCGUGAAAAUGCAUAAAUGUGUUCAAAAAGAAAAAAAAUAAACAGUUAACUAUUUCAAGAGUAUAAACAAUGACUCUCAUUAGAACUGA